UAUACCUACGGGAGGCAGCAGUGAGGAAUAUCGGUCAAUGGCCGGAAGGCUGAACCAGCCAAGUCGCGUGAGGGACGACUGCCCUAUGGGUUGUAAACCUCUUUUAUAAGGGAAGAAUAAAUGCUACGUGUAGCAUGAUGCCUGUACCUUAUGAAUAAGCAUCGGCUAACUCCGUGCCGGCAGCCGCGGUAAUACGGAGGAUGCGAGCGUUAUCCGGAUUUAUUGGGUUUAAAGGGUGCGUAGGCGGUUUUUUAAGUUAGUUGUUAAACGUCUGGGCUUCACCUUGAUUUGUCAUUAAUACUGUU
rnacentral:rRNA from 1 species